GAAGAAGAUGAUAUUCUCGAAGAUCUUGAUUGGGAUCAUCAUCCUUGUAACAAGCAGCUUGAUAACCCAGUUCCUAGAUUAAGAGAUGAUGGCUGGUUUCAGUUAGAAUUGGGCAAGUUUUCACUGAAAAUGAAGACAAUUGCAUAGUGUUGAGAAUGCAAGAUGUGACGGUUGGUUAUACAAAACGAGGCCUUAUUGUUGAAGGAAUUGAGAUAAGGCGAAAAAUUGCUUAACCAUUUUAUAGCUGUACUUCAUUUCAUUUGGUUAAGUAUUUAAGUUUGCCUUUUGAGCUCUGUUUUCUUGAAAAAGUUCAUUUUAUGCUGCAAAACUAAUAUGGCUGGAAUGAAUAGUAUAGGUUUUGAAUUUUAUGAUACAUGAGCCUAUUUUCCCGAUGGGAUAUGUUUAAUUGUCGCUUGGAUAUGUAAUUGUUAUGUUUAAACCAAAGAUAAUCCAUUGCCUUUUUUCUGUUAAGUUCUUUGUCUUAAACGGGAAAUAAGGUGGAAUAAAAUGAAAAUCUACAUAGGCAAGGGAAUUGAGUUGAGGAGAAGAGUGUGGGAAGCAUUGCAUCACUCAUCCAUUGGAGGUCAUGCAGGACAACAGGCCACUUAUUAUGAAUCAAGAUGCUAUUUUACUGACCUAACAUGAAACAGGAUAUCUUUAAAUGGGUAAGGGAGUGUGACAUAUGUCAGAAAGUCAAAUCUGAGAAUGUGCAUUACCCAGGGCUUUUACAACCUCUCCCUAUACCUGAAACACCUUGGAAAGACAUUGGAAUGGACUUCAUAUAAGGUUUGCCUAUAUCACACCAUAAGGACUCAAUAUUGGUAGUGAUGGAUCGGUUGACUAAGUAUGGUCAUUUUAUUGUCCUAAAGCACCCCGACACUACUCAACUAUAGCUGAAAUAUUCUUGAAUGAGGUUUAUAGAUUACAUGGGUUACCUCAGUCCAUAGUUACUAACAGGGAUGUCGUUUUUAUAAGUUUAUUCUAGAAACAACUAUUUAAAACCCUGAGAACUAAGCUCAAUAUGACUUCAGCCUAUCAUCCUCAAUCAGAUGGACAUACUGAGCGAAUUAACAAGUGUUUAGAGACUUAUCUUAGAGUUAUGGUGUUGGAUCAACCAAAGCAAUGGUCUAAGUGGUUACAUUUAGCCGAAUUCUGGUACAACACAAAUUAUCAUGUUUUCCUCAAGGCUACACCCUUUGAGGCCCUUUAUGGUAUUCCACCACUCCACAUACCAUUGGGCUCCUUAGGCCACUCUAGUAGGUCCUCAACAGAGGCUUGCGUGACACAAUGAUAAUAGCUAUUACAACAACUCCAAAAUAAUCUACAAGAAGCACAAUCGCGAAUGAAAUACUAUGCGGACAAGAACAGAUCUGAGAGAUCUCUAUAGAUUAGCGACAUGGUUUAUCUCAAAUUGCAACUAUAUAGACAAUCAACGGUAGAGAUGAGAUGAAAUCUUAAGAUAAGUGCCAAAUACUAUGGGCCUUACAAGGUAAUUGAAAGGACAGGAACAGUGGCUUACCGUUUGGAGCUUCCCUGGGGUCAUAGAUUCUCCUCGUAUUCCACAUAUCGCAAAUCAAGCGACAUAUAGGUCCAAACAUCAGCUCUCAGCAGCAGCCCCCGAGUUGUGAUGGAGAUGAAUGUCUACUGGUGGGGUCAUUAGUCAUCCUACAUUGUCGAAUAAUCAAGGUCAACAAUACCGUAGCAGUGCAGGUGCUCGUUCAUUGGGCUAAUCUGGAUGCAGACGAAGCCACAUAGGAGGAUUGGAGUUAUAGCCGCAGUCGCUUUCCUUAGUUCGUAACUCAAACACAAUCUUAAGGACAAGGUUGUUUUGAAGGAGAGAGAGUUGUAAUGUUAUGGGGUUUGCAUAAUUGAAGAAGGAACUAAAGAAUAAAGAGUAAAGUGAAUAAAAAGGAUAAAGUGAAGUUGGACACGAGUGGGGACGAGAAUCAGGCAAGUAGCGGUCCAACUGGCAGCUGACUUACAAUGAGUGGUCGAGAUUAGAGAUUAUCGACGGCAGAGAUUACUUCUCUAGAAACUCCAGCUCAGUUUUCUUAAUAAAUAUCUCAACUGGAAUGGGGAUUAGCAGUUAGACAAUUAUUGAUAAAUUUCCCUCUCAAACAUUCUCUCUCAAAUAUUUCUCUCUAUCCAUUUCU
rnacentral:lncRNA from 1 species